GGCUUAUCAAGUGGAAUUGGAGUCUUUGGCAGUAAUGCUAGAGGAGGAGAAUGAGCAGUUGCUGAAAGAGAAGGUAACUUCUCAUUGUAAUUGUUUUAGGAAAAAAAAAAAAUUGGAAUUUUAGGUGCGUAGAAUUCUUUGCUGUAAUCAGAGUAUACUUCUAGUUUUGCAUGGAGAUAGUUAACACAUUCUAGAGAACUACUUGUAGCUAAGCUAUGGUAUAAAAUAAAAUAAUGAUAACAAUAACAAAAUCAACGUCAUUUUUUUAAGCACUUUCUCAGCUGGCUAUUUGAAAUUGGCCACUUUGCACUGUUUCAAUGUUUUGCCAUUAUGUUGUUGUCAAAAAAAAAAAAAAAUUUUGCUGUUGAUAGGGUUUUCCUAUUAACAUGGUCCCUUGCACAACUUUAACAUGAAUUAACUUGCUCUAUCUGCAGUGGAUCCAAGGAAAUGCCUUUAACUAGUGAUUUAUCACUUGCUGACUUAAUUACUUGUAGGCGAGCUAUAGGGAAAAAAUAGAGACUUUGUGAUUGGUUUGGCUGCUUACUUUGAAGUGAAGUGUACCAUCAAUUCAAGUAAUGAGGUCUGCCUUCAUUGUUAAUAUCAUGUUCUUGGUGUUGUCUACCUGAAGCAGUGCAUCUAAUUUUGUUCUCAUUGUUAUCAUCAGAGAUGUAUUAAAUUAGACUAGUGUCUAAUACAUGCAAGUUUUAAUUGUCUUUCCUAGAAUGUGAAAUACUUUGAUUUUCUCUAACUUUUGGAGUCAUUAAUGAAAAAAAAAAUAUAAGUAAAUUAAGAAUCCCUGUGCAUCACUGUACAUCUAAGGCCAAUUGUCUUAUCUUUUAGCUGCAUUCGUGUGUCUAUUUCAGACUGCUUAAGUUUUAGUCCUAUUACUUGUUCUCUUCUACUUUGUUUUUUUAGUUCUCUGAAACAGCUUUCAAAUAUGUAAAUGAGUAAGAUUGUGUUAUUCAAUUUUUGUUUUAUAAUUGGUGUUUCAACUCAAAUGCUAAGGUUGUUUAAUCUGGUUUUAUUUAUUGCUUUUGGCAAUUGGUGUUAGUUACUGUUUCCCUACCUCCUGACUCCUCUUUCCUCCUUCCUGAUAUCUCUUCUUAAUGUGUUGAUUUACUCACUUGCACAGAUUCUCAGUACUCAACUCACACUGGUUAUGGCAUUCAUAUAGAUGAUAUUCAUGGCACAUAGAUCACUACUUUAAAGGGGAAAUAUCUCAAAAAGCAUUUUUCCAGGGCCUAAUCUUAAAAAUGGUUAGGAUUUCAUAUUGUGCUGUGGAACAACUUAGUUUCCAUGUUUAGGUGCAAAUGGAAAAUAUGGCAUAUAAGUAUUGUUUACUUAAAAGUAAUAUUGUCAUGGCAUCAAUUAGUGACAACAUUGUCAUAGUGCUUUUAAGUUAAACAUCAACAAGUAUUCACCAUAUUUCAUUUAGCUUGGGCUUUUACGGGCAAGCUAUUUCUUGAUUCUGUUUAUAUUGAAAAAUUGGUUGGAUCAAGUAAAUACAGUUGCUACACCUUUUAGUUUCUCCUACUGGAUUGUAUUUUUAUCUUUAAUUGUCAAUGAGUAUAAAAGAGAACAUUUAAUAUUUUAUUUAAUAUUAUUUUAUAGUCUCUCUGUCUUAUAUUUUCUUUACAAGUUGUAGGCAUAUUGAUGAUUUACUUUUUCUACAUUUCCUAAGCAAAGUAUUUUAUGUGUUCUGGCCAAUGAAAUUUGUUGUGCAGGAAGAGAGGACCAAAGAAAGGUUCCAGCAGCUUAUGGAGAAAGUGGUGC
rnacentral:misc_RNA from 1 species